rnacentral:rRNA from 1 species
GAUGAACGCUAGCUAUAGGCUUAACACAUGCAAGUCGAGGGACCGGCGCACGGGUGAGUAACGCGUAUCCAACCUACCCAUAACUAAGGGAUAACCCAGCGAAAGUUGGACUAAUACCUUAUGGUUAUGGAGGGGGAGGCGUCUGAUUAGCUUGUUGGCGGGGUAAGGGCCCACCAAGGCAACGAUCAGUAGGGGUUCUGAGAGGAAGUUCCCCCACAUUGGAACUACGACACGAUCCAAACUCCUACGGGAGGCAGCAGUGAUGAAUAUUGGUCAAUGGACGCGAGUCUGAACCUGCCAAGUAGCGUGCAGGAUGGCGGCCUGUGUGUUGUAAACUGCUUUUAUAUUGGGAUAGGUACCAUAUGAAUAAGGACCGGCUAAUUCCGUGCCAGCAGCCGCGGUAAUAC